GAUGAACGCUGGCGGCGUGCCUAAUACAUGCAAGUCGAGCGAACAGACGAGGAGCUUGCUCCUCUGACGUUAGCGGCGGACGGGUGAGUAACACGUGGAUAACCUACCUAUAAGACUGGGAUAACUUCGGGAAACCGGAGCUAAUACCGGAUAAUAUAUUGAACCGCAUGGUUCAAUAGUGAAAGACGGUUUUGCUGUCACUUAUAGAUGGAUCCGCGCCGCAUUAGCUAGUUGGUAAGGUAACGGCUUACCAAGGCAACGAUGCGUAGCCGACCUGAGAGGGUGAUCGGCCACACUGGAACUGGGACACGGUCCAGACUCCUACGGGAGGCAGCAGUAGGGAAUCUUCCGCAAUGGGCGAAAGCUUGACGGAGCAACGCCGCGUGAGUGAUGAAGGUCUUCGGAUCGUAAAACUCUGUUAUUAGGGAAGAACAAAUGUGUAAGUAACUAUGCACGUCUUGACGGUACCUAAUCAGAAAGCCACAGCUAACUACGUG
rnacentral:rRNA from 1 species